rnacentral:rRNA from 1 species
UACGUAGGGGGCUAGCGUUGUCCGGAAUCAUUGGGCGUAAAGAGCGUGUAGGCGGCCCGGUAAGUCCGCUGUAAAAGUCAAAGGCUCAACCUUUGAAUGUCAGUGGAUACUGCCGGGCUAGAGUCCGGAAGAGGCGAGUGGAACUCCUGGUGUAGCGGUGAAAUGCGCAGAUAUCAGGAAGAACACCCGUGGCGAAGGCGGCUCUCUGGGACGGUACUGACGCUGAGACGCGAAAGCGUGGGGAGCAAACAGG